AAGACAGUGCAGGAAAGAAGGACUGGUUCUGCGCAGGCUCUCUGAUCAACAGCCAGUGGAUUCUGACGGCUGCUCACUGCUUCAAUACUGCCACAGUGAAUAUCGUCCGCCUGCGGUGACACGAUUAUGAAGACCCGAAUGAUGGGGCCAAUCAUGUUGACUUCACUGUGGGCAGUCCAGUGGUCUUCCCAAAUUACACCUCUUCUCAGGCCUACCAUGACCUUGCUCUCUUGAAGCUUAACCGCCCAGUUGGAUUCACGAGUUCCAUUCGUCCUGUGUGUCUGCCUUGGGGUGCUGAGACUAACAGGAAUUUGGAGACCCAGAAAGUGACCUUGACAGGAUGGGGUCGCACACAAUUCCAGGGCGCCAGAAGCUCGUCCCUGCUGGAGGUAGAGGUGACGGUGUUCCCCACGAGCCAAUGUGACAGAAGCUACCAAACUCUGGCCGAAUAUGCCUCGACCUGGCCUCGUGGAAUUGGCUCCGAGUCCAUCUGUUCAGGAGACGUCAAUGGAGGCAAGGAUGCUUGUCAGGGCGAUUCAGGUGGGCCAAUCGUUUCCAAGGAUUCAAGAAAUCGUUAUACCUGGUGGUGUCGUCUCUCUAGGGUAUGGCUGCGGUGACAGAGACUACCCGGGCCUUUAUGCCAAUGCCCGCAGACCAGAGGUAUUUAGCCUGGAUCAAGAAGGUCGCGUUCUAAAGGUCAAUGAUCUUUGGACCUAAACUACUACUACUACUAGCAUAGAUAUGUGCGUAGCCAUACUAUACUAUUUUUUUUAAAUAAAGUUCAUGGCAGUGUGAACCUUUAUCUUGUGAAGCUCGGAGUUAAUGUGCGU